rnacentral:rRNA from 1 species
GACGAAGGGGGCUAGCGUUGUUCGGAAUUACUGGGCGUAAAGCGUGUGUAGGUGGUUGUCAUAAGUCAGGCGUGAAAGCCUUGAGCUCAACUCAAGAAAUGCGCUUGAUACUGGGCAGCUAGAGGACCGGAGAGGAUAGUGGAAUUCCCAGUGUAGUGGUGAAAUGCGUAGAGAUCCGGAGGAACACCGACGGCGUAGGCAGCGCCCUGGCUGUGAAUAAGCUGACACUGAGGCCACGAAAGC